rnacentral:rRNA from 1 species
GUAGUCUGCAACUCGACUGCAUGAAGCUGGAAUCGCUAGUAAUCGCGAAUCAGAAUGUCGCGGUGAAUACGGUUCCCGGGUCUUGUACACACCGCCCGUCACACCAUGGGAGCCGACAACGCCCGAAGUCAGUGACCUAACCGAGAGGGAGGAGCUGCCGAAGGCGGGGUUGGUAACUGGGGUGAAGUCGUAACAAGGUAAC